rnacentral:rRNA from 1 species
ACGCUCGACACCUACGGGAGCAGCAGUGGGGAAUAUUGCACAAUGGGGGAAACCCUGAUGCAGCGACGCCGCGUGAAGGAAGAAGUAUUUCGGUAUGUAAACUUCUAUCAGCAGGGAAGAAAAUGACGGUACCUGACUAAGAAGCCCCGGCUAACUACGUGCCUGCAGCCGCGGUAAUCUGAGCGGGCUGGCAAGGC